UUUAAAAUUAACUCUAUAAAUCGUAAAUAGAAGAAUGGCAUUGACUUGAAAGUUAAUUAUAAUUUAUAAUUUAGCAACUUUAAAUAAAGAGCAAUAAUCUAAAUCUUGACAUAAUGAAGUAAAUCAUAUUCAGAUAAUGUUUGGAAACAUGUUAUUCAGUUUUGGGAUAGAGUCAUAUAAGCUUUAACUAAAAAAAUUUUUUUAAUGGGAGAAUGCUUUAGAAGUGGAUGAAAGUUGGAAAAAACUAAAAUAACAAGUUUCUUUUCUUUAAUUUUCUGCUUCUGGUAUGUACUUUAUCCCAAGACGACGGAGGCCAAGAGCAUUGUUGUCUACAAUAGUGAUUAAUGACAAUGCAAUGAGAGAAGGCAGACAUGCUUCACUUCAGAUUUCCUGAUGUCAUCAUUUUUCAGGAUUAUAACCAUUCAUAAAAGUGUUUAUAUAAGGAAUAAACUAUUGGAUAAUCUUAUAUAUAUAUAUAAAUAUAGGAUGUAGCCAAGAUCUGACUUUAUUGUGAACGUCUCAUGGAUCAUGAAGCAUCAGAAUGGAAGCUGAAAACAUUAAAUAUUCAUAUAGGAAAGAGAUAUAUCAUUCUUUAAUUUGACGAUAUGAUUGAUGAGUUGGAACUCUGCUAAGUGUAUACAAAGUGGGACCCAUUAAAGACGAAUCUAAACAUUGAGACAGGAGGUUGUGCGAACUUCCAUUGAUUACAGAUUUACAAGAUAGCUACGUGUGACUUGCCCUAUCCAUCAAUGUAAUUAAGUAACUAAUAAUUGUGCCAAGACGUGUGUUGGAUCUAAAUGUUAACUGAUAGAGGAUCGUUAUUACCUGCCAUUCGAUGUUAAGAGAGUUUUAAUGAUAGGUCUUACUCCCCGUGACUCCUAUUGGUGUGAAACACGUCGUUAUAAUUUGAUAGCCUGGAUAUUCAUCUAGUUAUAAUUUUAUUUUAAAUGUUUUUGAAAUGUUUAUGAUUCCUGUUUAAUCACUAAUGACUCGAGAUGAUUAGCAAACAAU